UCUGUUCUUCAAGACUUCUCUCUAGCCACUUGUCUCCAAAUCAACUACGGUAAAACCACUUUUGCUCCGAUCCAUGUAGAUCCUCUCUCUGCUGCCCGUAUGGCCAACAUGUCGGGAUGCUCGGUGGCCUCCUUCCCUCAAAAUUAUCUCGGCCUUCCCCUAUCUACCUGCAAACUACGCCUCCUGGACUUUCAGCCUCUCAUCGAUAAGGUAGACAAACGGUUGGCCGGCUGGCAUGGCCACCUUCUAUCUGCGGCUGGUCGGGCCGUCUUGGUUAAAUCUGUUAUCCGGGCUCCUCCAUGUUGGUACCAUCCUUGA
rnacentral:rRNA from 1 species